UGGACAAAUUAUUGUAUUUGACUGUAUUCAACGGUAUUCACGGCGUGAAACAUGGGAUUACACUGUUUUUAAACGGAAAGUGAAUCAAUUAACAUAAUAGACUCCU
rfam:Nicotiana attenuata strain TT chromosome 12, whole genome shotgun sequence.